rnacentral:rRNA from 1 species
GAGUUUGAUCAUGGCUCAGGACGAACGCUGGCGGCGUGCUUAACACAUGCAAGUCGUACGAACGGAGGAGAGCUUGCUCUCCAAUGUUAGUGGCGGACGGGUGCGUAACACGUGAGCAACCUACCCUCUGGUGGGGGAUAGCCGGCCCAACGGCCGGGUAAUACCGCGUACAGCAUCGGGAUCGCAUGGUCCUGAUGUGAAAGCGGCCGCAAGGUCGCGCCGGUGGAGGGGCUCGCGGCGUAUCAGCUUGUUGGUAGGGUAACGGCCUACCAAGGCUACGACGCGUAGCUGGUCUGAGAGGACGAUCAGCCACAUUGGGACUGAGAUACGGCCCAGACUCCUACGGGAGGCAGCAGUGGGGAAUAUUGCGCAAUGGCCGCAAGGCUGACGCAGCGACGCCGUGUGUGGGAUGAAGGCCUUCGGGUUGUAAACCACUGUCAGGGGGGACGAAUACUCGGCUUCAAAUAGUUGACCGAGGGUGACGGUACCUCCAAAGGAAGCACCGGCUAACUCCGUGCCAGCAGCCGCGGUAACACGGAGGGCGCGAGCGUUGUCCGGAAUCACUGGGCGUAAAGCGCGCGUAGGCGGUUUCGUAAGUCGCGUGUGAAAUCCCGGAGCUCAACUCCGGGGCUGCAUGCGAUACUGCAAGACUAGAGCUCGGUAGAGGCAAGUGGAAUUCCCCGGUGUAGCGGUGGACUGC